rnacentral:lncRNA from 1 species
UUUAUCGUCGGGGUCGUUACAAAGGCGGCAGUUGCCGUUUUGGUUAUCCACAAACAUGCUAGACAUUUUGUUCCUUGUGGCUUCUCUCUAGAAUUCCGGAUUCGUUCGAUUUUUGCUGGUUCGCGUUUUAGUCCUCUGGUGAGGUUUAAAGUGGUUAAUUCGACCGCCUUCUUUUCGGUUCUCUAGCACGUCCUCGCAAGGAUCGUGCCCGUUGUCCUCUUCCUGGGGUUUCCAAUGGUCGAUUCGACGCCUUCCGGCUCUCUAGCACGUCCUCGCAAGGAUCGUGCCCGUUGUCCUCUUCCUGGGGUUUCCAACGGUCGAUUCGACGCCUUCCGGCUCUCUAGCACGUCCUCGCAAGGAUCGUGCCCGUUGUCCUCUUCCUGGGGUUUCCAACGGUCGAUUCGACGCCUUCUUACCGGUUCUCUAGCACGUCCUCGCAAGGAUCGUGCCCGUGGUCCUCUUCCUGGGGUUUCCAACGGUCGAUUCGACGCCUUCCGGCUCUCUAGCACGUCCUCGCAAGGAUCGUGCCCGUUGUCCUCUUCCUGGGGUUUCCAACGGUCGAUUCGACGCCUUCCGGCUCUCUAGCACGUCCUCGCAAGGAUCGUGCCCGUUGUCCUCUUCCUGGGGUUUCCAACGGUCGAUUCGACGCCUUCUUACCGGUUCUCUAGCACGUCCUCGCAAGGAUCGUGCCCGUUGUCCUCUUCCUGGGGUUUCCAACGGUCGAUUCGACGCCUUCCGGCUCUCUAGCACGUCCUCGCAAGGAUCGUGCCCGUUGUCCUCUUCCUGGGGUUUCCAACGGUCGAUUCGACGCCUACUUACCGGUUCUCUAGCACGUCCUCGCAAGGAUCGUGCACGUUGUGACACCUUUCUCAGUAUCGCAACAGCGAUUAUUUUAAAUUGAUGACUCAGCGUUGAGCGCGUAUUUCAACAGAACACUUUCCAACACUUUUCUUCUGCGAAUCUUCUUAUGGUCGUUUAGGCCUGACCAUUCCUUCCACCGAUUUCGAAACUCGUUGUACAAACACCUUUUCCCUAGGUGUGUUUUCCCAGAGAACUAGUUCAAAGGACCCUGUUUCGCACAGUUCUUGUUUAGCCACUGGCCUUUCGGCCCACUGCUUGUAAUUGUCGGUGUUUUUCACUUCGUCGAACUUCGCAUCAAUCUCGCGGAAGUAUUCGACGAGCUCUUCGAUCUCUCGCGUGAGAUCUGACAUUUCACUCAACUAAACACUACAGGAAUUUUCUUCUGGUUACUCUUUAGGCGGUAACCACACCUUGCUUUUAACCGCAACGAAAACGCGCGACGUUGUGGUUCCUCACUCGGGGCACCAUGUAAACGGCCCGCGGGAUUUUCUUUAUGGCUGGAAUCCGCGCGUCGACUCUAGCACGAUCUCGCGGUGUUUACUCGAUCUUACCGACAACUGGUAGACGCCAACUGAGUGCGUUUCCCCAAUCUUCCCCUUCGGACUGACAGGCUGGGUGGCUGACCCAGUACCUGCUGGCGGAAGGUUCGACUAGAGAACCGUGUCUCUUUAACAGUUAAGCACUGAUUCGUCGGAACGACACUCGCCAGGCGAGUGGUCCGCAACCGAAGGAAGCGAGUGUUUAACCGUUGUUACGGCGGUUCAACAACAGAGGAGAACCAGUCGUGGAUAUUUCCUCUUGUUUUUCCCUUCAGACGGACAGGCUGAUGUUUUAACCAGUACCUGACAGUGGAAGGUUCCAAUAGGGAGCUCUCUCUCUUAACGAUUGAAAGCUGACUCGUCAGAACGACACCCGCCAGGCGAGUAGUCCGCAACCGAAGGAGUCGAGUUUGCAAUCGUUGGUGAUAACCUUAGUGGUUGGACUUACCAGGAAUUUCUCUCUAGAAAGACAAGUUGCCUGUUCCGAGUCUAAACGUAAGAUCAUGUAUUUCGUGGUUGGUUCUGGGUUUUUAUAGGCGACUUUCGUCGAUCUGGGGGACUUAUUCUAAGAAGUGACAAAUGCAGUUCUAUCGUAGGUCCUAUUGAUUCUUAAAGUUAGAAAGGGACAAUUGUCGUGAUUGCCUAAAUCUAAUUUUCUCCCACGAGAAAGAAGCAAAGAGAUUUCAAUGUUUUAGGUUUUUUCUCGUAAGGUAUGUCUCUGAGUGCGUAGGUAAUAAAUUUCGAAUUUAAUUACUUUGUUUCUUUCGUUGCGUGGGAUGAUUACUUUCUAUGCGUGGGUUGACGCAGGGACAUAUUUGUUCUUGUUGCGCCUUACCAUUAGAUCAAUGCUUUCCCUUUCUCUUCGUUAUGACUCCUGUCCGCGUAUCAAUCGAAUGCGUCAGGCUCAGCGAGGGCCUGCGCUUUGUGCUUAUGACGGUUUGGUCCUACCUGCUUGCUAUGGAAGGAAAUUGUUAACGAUCUUUGUUUUUAUGGCUUUCCCUUCCUUCUGAGUUGAUGGGGCAGUGCGCCUUUACUUUCUAAUGCUAAUGUUACCAUCUGUUUUUUGUGCUGAGUGAUGGCUCUGUCUGUUUAGAAUGCUAUAGGGGAAGGGAUCGGUAAGGUUCUAGUAUAUCCCUUCGCAUGGUUUGAGUUGCCUUCUUCUGUUUGUGGGUCGUAAAUUACGUGCUUAUUGGCUAGUUGUUUAAUUUCGUUUCUUCUCUCUGUCAUUGGUUCGCAUCCGAUCGCAAAUUAAUCGUCGCGAAUUAACAGUAG